CAUAACUCUGCUGCCUGUUCGUCUUGCUUGUUGCUCGUCUUCUUGGUUCCAACUUCUUAUGCUCUUCCGUCCGCAUAGGUGUGGUCGGCCCCGUCUUUGGGACUCAUUCACCGACAGCAGUGGACGGAGCUCCUCCUCUCUUGUCCGCUGCAUGCGCAUGAAUGUGUCGCCGCCUAUGCUGGUGUCGUCGCAACCUUUCCUCUUCAAUCCACAGCAGCCGCAGCAGUAGCAAUCGCUUUCUUCACACAUCCCUUAUCAACAGCAACAGUACCAGCAGCACUACAUCUUCCCAGUCCCUUCUGGGCUCUGCCCACGAAGACCGAGACAGCAUCGGCAGUAGUAUUGGCACCAGCUGUAAUGAUGUUCCUUCCUUCUUCCUCCCUUUCCGUUCGGAGUGGAGCAGCAGAAACGUCGCCAUCUUUGACGUGCGGGAAGAGAGGUUGGUGGCUUUGCUGGAUCGCUGCGCCUCGCCGCUCCAUCUCAAGCUCGUCCAUGCCCACCUCCUCAGGCACGGCCUGGACCAAAGCAAUUAUGUUAUCACUAAGCUGCUGCGCACGUUCACCAAGCUGUGCACCGAUAUGGCGUAUCCGCGCCUCCUCUUCCGCCAGGUCCGGUGGCCUAACGCCUUCCUGUGGACCGCCUUGAUCCGGGGAUAUGCCCUCAAUGGGCCUAUCGCGGAGGCCCUCCAUCUCUAUGGCUCCAUGAGGAGGAAUGGCGCUAGUCCCACCUCCUUCACCUUCUCUGCCCUUCUCAAGGCUUGUUCUGCCAUCGGUUCCGUUUAUGCAGCUCGUGGGGUCCAAGCCCACACUAUGAUGCUCGCCUUCGAUUCGGAUCUCUUCGUGCAAAACACCCUUAUCGACGGUUACGUGAGAUUCGGGUGCUUAAGUGAUGCUCGCAAGGUGUUCGACGAAAUGCCUGAGAGAGAUGUUAUUUCAUGGACGGCGCUGAUUGUGGCGUAUGCGAGGUGUAGUGAUAUGGAGGCUGCUCAGCGGUUGUUCAAUGAUUCACCACACAAGGAUAUGGUGGCGUGGACUGCCAUGAUUUGUAGCUAUGCUCAGAACGCCAAGCCGAAAGAAGCACUCCAAUUGUUUGAUAGGAUGUGUGCAGCAGGUGUCCCUACUGAUGAGGUGACGUUGGUGGGCGUGAUUUCUGCCUGUGCACAACUUGGUGCCGCUUCUUAUGCGAAGUGGGUGCACAAUGUGGCAGAGGAACGUGGGCUUGAUGGAAACCUCGUUGUGGGAUCAGCACUCAUCGACAUGUAUGCGAAAUGUGGGAACAUCCAAGAGGCGUACCGAGUGUUUGAGAAGAUGUCUGAGAGGAAUGUUUACUCAUACAGCGCAAUGAUUGUUGGCCUUGCAAUGCAUGGCCAGAGUAAAUCAGCUCUCGAGGUGUUCUCCUGCAUGAAAGAAACUGAUGUCAAGCCAAAUUCAGUCACGUUUAUUGGUGUCUUAACUGCCUGUAGUCAUACAGGUAUGGUCGACGAAGGGCGUCACUGUUUUACCAGCAUGCAAGAUGAAUAUGGGAUUCUGCCUUCUGCUGAUCACUAUGCUUGUAUGGUGGAUCUCUUGGGACGUGCUGGCCGAUUGGAAGAAGCAUAUGAGAUGAUCAAAAGUAUGCCAGUUGAACCUCAUGCAGGUGUAUGGGGUGCAUUGCUUGGAGCUUGUAGAAUUCACAGUAAUGUGGAUCUUGCGGAGAUUGCAGCUCGCCAGCUUUUUAAGCUUGAGCCAGAUGGUAUCGGUAAUCACAUUCUGCUCUCCAACAUAUAUGCUGCUGUCGGAAGAUGGGAAGAUGUAUCCUCGGUACGGAAAAUGAUAAGAGAAAAAGGACUAAAAAAGAGUGCUGGGUAUAGCUGGUUUGAAGCCAAGGAUGGUAGAAUUCAUGAGUUCUUUGCAGGGGAUAGCUCCCACCCUCUUUCCCGAGAGAUAUAUGUGCUAUUGGAUGAAUUAUAUGAGAAGUUGAAGAUUUUGGGACAUGUUCCUGUUCUGAAUUCUGUUGUUUAUGAUGUCAGUGAUGAUGAGAAGGAGAGCAUUCUUAGGCGGCACAGUGAGAGGCUGGCACUUGCCUUUGGCCUCCUUAGUACGAAUCCUGGUACAACCAUUCGCAUUGUGAAGAACCUCCGCAUCUGUGAAGAUUGUCACUCUUUCAUGAGGAAAGCCUCCUUGGUUGCAAAUCGAAUCAUUGUGGGAAAUUGCUUCAAUUAAACAGACUCUAAUAGUGCAUCCUGGUACUGAGCUCUUGACCUUACUCAAACUUGAAAGUUUUAACCCUCUAGACAAGGGAUGGAGCUUUCAUUGGCUCAUUCUGGAAGCCAGUCCACUUAAAUCAACAAAUUGGGUACUCAGUGAAUGGGAAGCAAGUAAAAUGUAAAUUAGAAAUGUGAAAAAAAUGGCUAUAGUACGUAUGUUCAUCGCUCAAAGAAGUUCACUAAGUAGGUGAACUUCAAGUUGCUAGGCCUAGCAUAAGCAGACAUUCAUCAAGAUGGACCCAAAUGCCAGCGCUUAGAGAGCACUCUCAUGGGAAUCACUCCACUACAACAAAGCUUAGCAGUAGCAAUGGUCUACAUAACUUCCCACUGAACGUAGAAAAAAGGGAAUUUUCGUCUCUGAAAAAUUUUGAAAGUUUCUGAGGAGACGUGGAGGUGGAUUCCAACCAGCCCUGGUUUCCAAUGACACAUAGGAGAGAGGACAAUACUAAAGCCUAAAGGGCUGCUGAUCAUGGAAGCUGCAGAAGAGCAACAGCAGAAGAAUGAAGGAGAGACUGCUGGAUAAAUAUGUAAGAAGCACCUAGCAGAGGAAGAUGGGAAGAACAAGGUCUCGCCUGAGAAGUUUGCCUCCACACUCAAGCUAUGCUUUCCAUUUUUCUCCGUUUUGGUUUUUAUCUUUUUCAUCUGAGGCUUUUUCUUUCUUUUUCAGUAGAAGACAAGCUCUUUGCUAUUGGCAUUCUUGUUUUUUUUUUACCACUUCUCAGAAGGCAGAUAGAUCUGGCCACUGAAUGAAUUCAGGCCAAAGGAAAAAAAAAAAAAGCCUUACAUGAUCUGCUAAUCAGCAGGACCUCAGCCUCUCUUUUUGUUAAGAUCUAGAUAGGUUUUUGUUCAUGACUAGAUAUUUUUUUCUUCAUCACUUUGUCAAUAUAUACUGAAAAUUGUAUAUCUGGAUACAAUUCAUCAAUGUCUAAUCAAUUUUGAUCCACUGUUCUCAUCAAGGGUGAGACUUGAAAACACAUUUACAAUCUGAAUAGGUGCAACAAGAUCUGAAUCAUUUUCUUUUGAACAGUGAUGAGCUCUUUGGCAAUUUGAAGCAUUUCUCGAAAUGUGUAAUUUUUUUAGAAAUGUAAUGAAAUUGGGCAUAUAGAUCUAUGGACCAAAUGAUGAAUUUUAAAGCUUCGGCUUUUUAUUAACCCUAUUUUUUCCAGUCAUAUCUUUUUGAGGAUCAAGUUUUCAAGUCAAAGAUCGCUUCAGAAUAAUUUGUAGACAUGGACACCUAAUUCUUUUGGUGUUUUCAUAAAUGAAAUUAAUGAGUCAAGGGGACCUGGGUCUCAGCAUGAUCUUGUUCUUUUUCAUCUGGUUUUCAAAUAGCUGUUAUCAGUUAUGUUACUUAAUAUUUCUUGAGUUUGUCUGAGCUUACAGGUUGGGUAGUUGGUAGUUGAUGGCUAACAUUAGGAUGUGUGUUUCAAGUUCAGAAAGUAUUCAUUGUCUUCAAGUUCCAACCAUAUUUAGAGAUUCUUAUCUGGUCAUGACAUUGGAUAUUCUGGAACUGCCAUUUUAUUGAAACCCUUGAGCUUACUUGCUAGUAUUAAUGAGUAAUGGUUCAUUCUUUAGUUUGAUCAUUGCAAUUCUAUUUAUUGGCAGAUCAUUGAUUGCAUUUCUUAUUCUGUGCUUAUGAUGAUUCUUAUUUGCCUUUUUUUUUUAAAUUUUUCUGUUUCAGCAGGUUAUGGGUUCAUUAGUUACAUUUUCAUCUCAAGUUAAUCUGACUGAUUUAGUUCAUUAACUGAAGUUUGUUGACAACGGAGGUUCUUCUGAAGUAUAUGCUUCUGAGGUUACUGCAGAGGAUAAAAACAGCAGCCAGUAGGAAAUUUUGUGGUCCAACUGCAUUUCAAGUACCCUUGGACAAAAUUCAGUCAAUCCAUUAUUAGGAUUGUUCCACUUCCUAUUGUAAAUAUACUGAUGAUGAGUUCCAGUCAACCACUAAAGAGUUAUAGGAGUAUUGUUUGCGUCUCCUUUUGAAGUUUUAGCUUGGAUCAUCUCUUAGGUACCUGCUUAAUUUUCCUAAUUGUACCAAUUAAAUUAUGUUAGUUCUUACCAAGUUUGAGAUUGUGGUCCCAAGCACACAGUUGAGCAGAAGUCUUGAAAUUAUAGAUUAAACUUUCUAAUAUUUAGGUUAUCGUUUAUGUCUUUUAUGUGCUGAUUGUCAAAUUCAUACUUUCACACGUGGUCACAGAAAGCACGUUUUUUUUUUAUAAAAUGCAAAAAAAUGCGAUAAAUUAACUGGCAGUUUAAAACUAAAAAAAAGCACUUUUUUUUUUGAAAAAAAUGCAUUUUUAAUGCAUUUUUUUUCAGUUUUUUCAUUUUUUUAGUUUUUUAAUGUCAAAACAGUUUUUUUUUUUCAUUUUCUAUUUUUAAUGUCAAACAGUUUUUAGUUUUUUGUAAUGUCAAACAGUUUUUAUCAGCAGAUUGUUUCCUGAUUUUCUGUCCUCCUUCCUGGGCAGGUACUUGUAAAAAUGUCUCUAUCCUAUGUCUCAUUAAUUAGCUACUGUCUCUGAAAAGGUUUGUGAAGCUUUAGAUUCUCAUUUCCUUUUUCUGUUUUCCUUGUCAAGAAGUGUGGUUGAAUCAGAGAUUAUCAUUAUGUGAACAAAUCAAACUUUAAUUCUGAUAUUGAAAGGCUCCAUUUGAAAUUCUGGAAUUGGAAGUAGCCCUGUGAUAUGGCUUAUCUGCAUCUGUUACUGCAGUACAAAGUAAAUGACCUGAGUUUUGAAGCUCACUGCGCUGGAAUUUGCUAUUACUAGGUCUUGUUUUAUUAGUGAUUAACAUGUUCUGUAUGCUGCAGAUUAUAUAGACCCUGUUUGUUGAAGUUGGGUUUCAUCAGGUGGCAGUAGUCGAGGAGGAUCAGAUGGUGCAAACAGCGUUGGAGUUACAUAUAAAGUCCAGUCUUUGAUCUUCCAUUG